rnacentral:tRNA from 2 species
GGGCCCGUAGCUCAGUGGAAGAGCAUCCGACUCAUAAUCGGCAGGUCACAGGUUCGAACCCUGUCGGGCCCACCA